rnacentral:rRNA from 1 species
UUGGAGGGCAAGUCUGGUGCCAGCAGCCGCGGUAAUUCCAGCUCCAAUAGCGUAUAUUAAAGUUGUUGCAGUUAAAAAGCUCGUAGUUGAAUUUCGGGAUCAAUGUUUCGGUCAUGCCGUUGGUAUGUACUGAUAUUAUUGAUUUCUCACCUUCUAAAGAACCGUAAUGCCAUUAAUUUGGUGUUACGGGGAAUUAGGACUGUUACCUUGAAAAAAUUAGAGUGUUUAAAGCAGGCUCACGCUUGAAUACAUUAGCAUGGAAUAAUGAAAUAGGACAUCCGAUUCUAUUUUGUUGGUUUCUAGGAUCGAUGUAAUGAUUAAUAGGGAUAGUUGGGGGCAUUAGUAUUCAAUUGUCAGAGGUGAAAUUCUUGGAUUUAUUGAAGACUAACUACUGCGAAAGCAUUUGCCAAGGAUGUUUUCAUUAACCAAGAACGAAAGUUAGGGGAUCGAAGACGAUCAGAUACCGUCGUAGUCUUAACCAUAAACUAUGCCGACUAGGGAUCGGAUGAUGUUAAUUUUUUAAUGACUCAUUCGGCGCCUUACGGGAAACCAAAGUGUUUGGGUUC